rnacentral:lncRNA from 10 species
AGUCCAGGGAAAGGGCCGCUAGGUGUCCGGUGCCUUUGCUGCGAGUUCUCUGACAAAAUUGGAGGCGGCGAAGCGCGUUCCUCGCGGCCCCCUAAAGUUUGGCCAUUUUAAGUGCAUCAUAGUGUCAGUGGAAUACGAUUUGGUUUUCCACGAGACGUAAAAGUAGGAGUUUCAAGAAUAAAAUGAAUUCUCUCCUCCAGCUUCGGUGACUUCGGCAGAGCUAAUUCUACGCACGCUCACUCGCGCCACCACCACUCUUUGCUAGAAAGCUGUGGCCGUCUCUUCGGCAGCUCGCUGCCUCCAUCAACUAACCCGGAGCAGCUUUCCCAGCGCCUAGACGCUGCCGGGGGCUGAGGUGGGGCAGAGGGGAGAAUGCCAGGGUCACAGAAUACUCCCCAAACCCUGCUCAGCCCUGCCCGCCCAGACUGGGAGGAAAAACAGCCCGCACCUCCUAACUGGGGGAGCCCCGGCCUAGUCACUCAAGCUGCGCGGCUCGGGGGUGAGGGGUAGGGUGCGGGGGUGUCACCCGUGGAGCAUCCAGCUGCGUGACAACGCCGCCCCCUCCCGGUGCCCUGCCGAGCUGCGUCCCAAAAUGGAGAAAUCCGACUGUCUCUGUGGCAGAGGCCAUCCCCUCAGCGCUGCGCCUAAGCACUGAGGUGCGCCUGGGGACUCUAGGACAACUACCCUGUCCGCAUAGGGCCAUCGCUUCCUUCAGAGCACACCCAUGUGUUCCUCUGACCAGCCAUCGGCGCAUGAAUCUAUCUUAACCAGGCAUUUUAUACAUAUAUAUACAUAUGCAUAUUCUUGUGUGAGCAUGUGUAUAGAGAGAGCAUUUAGUGACCUGUUACGUGCCAGGCAACAGGCUAAGUGCUGAAGAUUUAAGAAUGACAUUUCACGUAAUCUAGAGGGCAUAGCACCUAGGUGCAUAAUUAUGGUUCAGUUGCAUAUGUAUUAUGAGAGAAGUAUAUUCUGACGCAAUCGCGUGGCGGGCUAACUACAUAGGAAACGGAGAGACACCCGAGAAGGUGUCAUUUGGACUGGAUCUUGAAAGAAUGGAUGUUCUUUCAGUAGUCGGGGAAAGAGGAGAAGAGCGUUAUCUACAAAGGGAAGCGUAUGGAGUUGGAGAAUGUUUGAGGAAGGAUAUGUACACUCCCGUGAUUAAUAAAUGAGAUUGGUAGUGCCUUGAGAUAAGGUUUAUGAGUACCAGGAACUUAUUGAACACGUCUGGGCUAUAACCUGUUUAGCUCCUUAACAUAAUACCUAAUUUAAUCUUCAAGAAGAAGGUAUUUCC